rfam:Schistosoma margrebowiei strain Zambia genome assembly, scaffold: SMRZ_scaffold0005068
AUCCAGCUGACAAGUCCCAAAUAGGACUAAACACAUGUCCUGAAU